GAUGAACGCUGGCGGCGUGCCUAAUACAUGCAAGUCGAGCGAACAGACGAGGAGCUUGCUCCUCUGACGUUAGCGGCGGACGGGUGAGUAACACGUGGAUAACCUACCUAUAAGACUGGGAAAUCUUCGGGACACCGGAUCUAAUACCGGAUAAUAUAUUGCACCGCAUGGUUCAAUAGUGAAAGACGGUUUUGCUGUCACUUAUAGAUGGAUCUGCGCCGCAUUAGCUAGUUGGUAAGGUAACGGCUUACCAAGGCGACGAGGCGUAGCCGACCUGAGAGAGUGAUCGGCCACACUGGAACUGGGACACGGUCCAGGCUCCUGCGGGAGGCAGCAGUAGGGAAUCUUCCGCAAAGGGCGAAAGCCUGGCGGAACAGCGGCGCGUGAGUGAUGAAGGUCUUCGGAUCGUAAAACUCUGUUAUUAGGGAAGAACAAAUGUGUAAGUAACUAUGCACGUCUUGACGGUACCUAAUCAGAAAGCCACGGCUAACUACGUG
rnacentral:rRNA from 1 species